ACAAGGAGAAUCAAAUUUUGUUCAGAAGAUCAAAUUAAUCAAAAAAAUUGACUAGUGGAGAAACUUAUAAUUUUUCCAUCAAAAAUUAUAUACAUUUUUUUGGGUUUAUCAUCUUUUAUGCUCCUCGUCGAACUUUGCAUGCUCUCUCCACCCUUAUAUAUAAUUCACUCUGCUUUCUAGUCUAUGUAGAUAAUAGGCUUGAAUCAAGAAAAUAAAGAAAGAGAAAGAGAUGGAAAGUAAUAGGCUCAUAGUGCUUUUGCUUCUUUGUACCUUCCUUUGUCGCGCCGAAUCUGCUCUUCCUUCUCACUAUGAAAUCUCACUCACCGGGAGGAGAAUGAUGGGUUAUAAGCCCAAAAGUGCCAUAGGAAUUAUUAAAAUUUCCAAAACACUACCAUCAACCAGUCCGCGUGCUCCAGGCGGAGGAGGGGGUAAUGAAAGAAGAUUUAUGAGCCAAAUGGGUGUAGCCGUGUAGGAGCAUCAAGCAGUGGACAAGGUAGUCGUCGCAACCACUAACUCCAGUUUCGGUUACUAGUGUUUAAAUAUAUCGUAUGUGUGUGUGUGUGAAUUUUUUUUUUCUGCCUUCACAUGUCAAGAAAUUUUGAAUUAUGUAUUACUAUUAUUUAGUUUUCGGUAUAUCGUGGAAUAAGUAUUGUUCCACACAAGUUUAAUUAGAUCAGUUCAAAAUAUAACUAAUAUUUUAAUAUUAGUAGUGUUAACAUAAUAAUUAAAUAUAAAUUUAACCCACAUUGUAUCACUAAAUUAAUGUCAUUUUACAGAUAUAUUAAUCCUUUAUCCUAUAAAGCAAAAGUCUAUCUGUCCAAUAAUAUAAAGCCACAUCAGAUUUUAUUUUAAUUUUAGUUAAAAAAAAUCAAAAACAAAUGUACACACGAUCCUCUACAAAUACAUGAAUUAAAAAGAAAAACCUUAACCAAUUAAACGUGUUACAAAAUUGU